CGCCGCGGGAACACCGGCAGCUCUAGUGGUAGCAGUUUAUUGGGCCUAAGCGUCCGUAGCCGGUUAAUAAGUCUCUGGUGAAAUCCUGUAGCUUAACUGUGGGAAUUGCUGGAGAUACUAUUAGACUUGAGACCGGGAGAGGUUAGAGGUACUCCCAGGGUAGAGGUGAAAUUCUGUAAUCCUGGGAGGACCGCCUGUUGCGAAGGCGUCUAACUGGAACGGUUCUGACGGUGAGGGACGAAAGUUAGGGGCGCGAACCGGAUUAGAUACCCGGGUAGUCCUAACUGUAAACGAUGCGGACUUGGUGUUGGGGUGGCUUUGAGCUGCUCCAGUGCCGAAGGGAAGCUGUUAAGUCCGCCGCCUGGGAAGUACGGUCGCAAGACUGAAACUUAAAGGAAUUGGCGGGGAGCACCACAACGCGUGGAGCCUGCGGGUUUUUAAAUUGGAUUCAACGCCGGACAUCUCACCAGAGGCGACAGCUGUAUGAUAGCCAGGUUGAUGACUUUGCUUGACUAGCUGAGAGUAGAGGUGCAUGG
rnacentral:rRNA from 1 species